UUAACUAUUAUAUAGUACUCAGACGACACUAUAAUUCAAGAGUUUGGGUCCUCUGGCGGGCACUCACCAGCCGAAGCCAGUAGCUAAAGCGGCCCGCCAAAGCAACAAAGGUAUAAUAUCCAAGGGUGGGAGAUCUACCCAUAGGGGCAUGAACUCUGUAAUGAUCCUUCCGCAGGUUCACCUACGGAAA
rnacentral:misc_RNA from 1 species